rnacentral:misc_RNA from 1 species
ACACCUCAACUCCUCAUGGUUUGCCAUGAUGAGCUUGGACCUUGGGGGUAUUGCUGGCCCUGUGGUUGGCUCCUCUCAAAUGGAUCAGCUUGCCAGUGUUUGGUGGCAUCACAGGUCUGAUAAAUAUCUACGCUUGUGGUUUCCACCAUGUAACCUUCAGUGAUGAAGGUGCGCUGGAGCUCACAAAUGUCCCUCCUCAGUGAGGACAGCUUUUGAAC